UACGUAGGGUCCGAGCGUUGUCCGGAAUUACUGGGCGUAAAGAGCUCGUAGGUGGUUUGUCGCGUUGUUCGUGAAAACUCACAGCUCAACUGUGGGCGUGCGGGCGAUACGGGCAGACUAGAGUACUGCAGGGGAGACUGGAAUUCCUGGUGUAGCGGUGGAAUGCGCAGAUAUCAGGAGGAACACCGGUGGGCGAAGGCGGGUCUCUGGGCAGUGAACUG
rnacentral:rRNA from 1 species